AUAGAAAAUAAAAAGAGCUAUCCAUUGUGUAUUCCUACUGUUGUAAUAAAUUAAUUUCGUGGACAAAUCUAUCUUCUAUUUUUCUACUGUAAAAUCACACUCAGCCACACGCUCACACACGUCUGACAUUGAAAAGACAGGGAUUUUUCUUGUUUUGACGUAUUUUCUAACCUCUUAGAAUGUUAUUAGAAGUCGUAAUAAAAUAAUUUGAAUAUAAAGCUAUGUUUUAAAGUAAAUAAAGACCAUUUAACGAUGUUAACAUGAUGAGACAUCGAUUUUAUGGAAUGGAGGAGAAUAUUUAACAGCUGGAAAUUAACAAAAAUCCUGCAAGAGCAUCGAGAUCUCGCUUUUGGCGAGUGGAAGUCCAAAGGCAAAGUGCAGCGGUUUGCAGUUCUUAGCCUCACUUUUUUGGACCUAACAAGACAGGAAAAGAAUAGUCAAAGAGGAAACCCGAGUAGCCAGAUGAUAAUAUAUGAAACCAUGAGCAGCCAGCCAUUGAAACUCUCAGCAAUUUGAAUAACAAUUUUGAUUGAUUACCAAUCAUG